rnacentral:tRNA from 1 species
CAGGAAAUAAUUUAACAAAAAUGUUAAUUUUGGAGGUUAAUUUUAGAUUUUUUUCUUUUCCUGA